UCAGGGCUCGUCUAAUGGUAGGACACUGGGCUCUGAACCCAGCAGUCGGGGUUCGAAUCCCUGGCCCUGAG
rnacentral:tRNA from 1 species